AAGUGGAAGGGUAUGGGUCGGUGUUGGAAGGUGUGCACGGAGCCCGACAUGCUGACUGCCGGCGUGCCCUCUGACCGGCCUCUCAAUGCAGUGACAGGAUGAGGGGACACCCGGUUAUGGGUUAAACCAAGCACUUGCACAGCUUUGGCCAUAGCUUGGCUCACAACGUGUCUGCCAUGAGCUGCUAGGUGGCUUCCAGCCCCUGGUCACACAGGUUACUUUUGGAAUAUACAGACUUGCUGUGGAAACGCUCAAUCCGAUAGUGUCACAAACUGCAACAUGCCUUGUCAACAUCAAAGGUGACCCUGACGUCUCAUUGACAGUGAACAGGUAUUACGAUUGCAUAUUAUCUAAAUUAACAUUGCGUUGUCCCUAUGAUGUCAGCACUGGGCUCUGAAACUGCUGAGCGAUAACUGUGCCCCACUGUCUUGACAUGCAGUGGGACUGAGGGACCAUAAUCUACAGUGUGGCAAGCAGUCUUUAAUAUAAAGUGAACUGUUCGUAUACUAAGCUAGCUUUUAAAGAUCUAAAUCAUGGUAUGUCUCACUCACUUAAGCAUCAGGGCUGUAUUAAAAGAACUUCAUGGAGUGACAGCAUAAAAUAUCACUAGUCCUCAAAGGAACGCUAUAGAUAAAAGGUCUGGAAGGGUGAGACUUAUUCUUCCAAUACUUUCCCUUAGGAACAGGGACAAUGUGGAAAUCUGAAAUUUUUACAUCCGUGGAACCUCUAGGGGCUUUUAAUCAGGGGUAGGUAACCUUUGGUUAUCAGAUGUGAACUACAUAUCCCCUGAUACUUUGCCAGCAUUAUGGGAGCUGUAGUAAACAUAUGGAGUUCCUAAAGAUGCCUGCCUCUGCUUUAAGGGGUUAUCAUUGUGACUGCUUGUGAAAUGGCUGUAAACAUGUUAGGCGGAUAUUUUGCUCAAGCUUUGAGCUGUCAACCUUCUUAUUCUGACAAAUAUUUCUUUGUUUCAGGAUAUACUGGACUGACGAAAAAUGCUGGAAUAAAGCAACUUUAUUGUGUUACAAACAUGGUUUAAAGCUUAGGAACAACUGUGUAAGGUUGUUUGAAACCUUCCUUGCCUCGAUCGAGAGAUUACUCUUAAUACUCCACUAAAAUUCUACUUUAGAUGUGAAGUAACUGUAGAAUUCAGCAUUGAACUAAUGCAGCACACUUGGCACUCUAACCACUAAUUUGGCGUGCAGCAGAUUUUAAAAUGCCUCACAUGUGAAAACUACCUGUUAAUAAAGUG